AUUCCGCUUAUAACCAGCAAAUUGAUCCAAAUCUGAAGCAUAUCGAUCGAUGUCCUUCUCCCCCACCCCUAAAGCGUAUCGAUGUCCUUCUCCCCCAAAUCGAUUCAGCCUUAUCAGAGGUCUGGAAGCGGUCGUAGGCAACAACAAUUUGAUAUCUCCCCCAAUUUCGAAGCGGUGACUCCGCCCAUUACUGCCUAUCUCUAUCAUUCAAUUCAUAUUCAUUGUUCUUGAUCCUCUUAUUUUAUCUCUGUACUGACAUCCAUUUGGCACGCUGGUUUGGGUUGAAUCAGUCAAAAUAUCUGUGGGCAUUUGAUGAUUAUUAUGAAAGCAAGGGAUCGCAGGGCAUCGGUCGGAAAUUGGAUUGCAUCGUGGAGGCCAACAGUUAAUUGUUCCUUCUGCAAAUUAAGGAGAAGAUCAGUAACUUGGCCAGUGCUGCCAAGGAGAAAGUAGAGACUCACAAAGCCAAAACGGAAGAGAAGGUUGAGAAGAUGACAGCGAGGACAGAGGAAGAGAAUUCAGAUGUGCCGGAGGCUUUUCUCCCUUCAAAUUAUAGACCAUCGAGCAGCGAGCUUUCCAGAUGCGCCAACAGGUGAAGGACACAUGAGUAAGAAUCCAAUUUAAUUGAGAUUUUGAAAAGCUUUUGCUGUAAAAUAAAGUGAGCCACUUAUCAAUUGUUGUGAAGCUUUGUUUCUCUGGUCUGUAGCUUAUUGGACUUGCAAACCAAAUUUUUUCUGUCCAACUAAAAGUUGCUAUAUUAGUUUGGUUACUGUAUGUCUGUAUCUGUUUUGACUUUUGAUUCGAAACAAUGAAAUUUGGCAGUUUUGGAUAUUGAAUAGCAUCUGUUUUGGACCUUUGGUAAUUUGGAACUGAGUAUGAAUCAAUUGAUAAUUUGUUUUGGACUUUGGUUACUGUCUCUAGUUUGAAUAAUAAAAUUUGGCAGUUUUGGAUGGGAAUUGAAUAGCAUCUGUUUUGGUAAUUUGGAUGGGAGUUGAAUCAAUUGAUAAUAAUUGAUAAGCAUCUGUUUUGGUAACAUGUUUUUGCUAGGUCCUUUGGCAGCUACACCAAAGACUGGAAACUCAAGUUACAAGUAAUUUUAUCUUAUUUUGGACACUUCAAUCUUGUUCUUUUCUUUUGUUGUUGUGUAUGGAGAAGUUUAGGCCAUAUGUCCCCUUCUCUCUACUCUUCGUACUUGUUUUAUCAAAAAUAGUUUGAUGGUUAUGUUUUUGUCUACUUUGAGUUAGUCCUCAAAGCAUUUUGAUGUAUGCUCAUUCUUGGACAAGGAUUAUGUUGUUAAAGGGGAAAAUCUUAGUGAUAUUCCACCUUCAACAACAAUGUAUACUAGGAAUGUAAGAACAUCUUACUAUGAAUGUAAAGUUUAUUCA